UACGAAGGGGGCUAGCGUUGUUCGGAAUUACUGGGCGUAAAGCGCACGUAGGCGGUCUUUUAAGUCGGGGGUGAAAUCCUGGAGCUCAACUCCAGAACUGCCUUCGAUACUGGAAGACUUGAGUCCGGGAGAGGUGAGUGGAACUGCGAGUGUAGAGGUGAAAUUCGUAGAUAUUCGCAAGAACACCAGUGGCGAAGGCGGCUCACUGGCCCGAUACUGACGCUGAGGCACGAAAGCGUGGGGAGCAAACAGG
rnacentral:rRNA from 1 species